ACACACAAACACAAACACACACUGUUUCUCUUACACACAAACAAACACAAUGCAUCUCUUACAAACACUCAAUGCACCCCUUACAGACACACACACACACUGCAUUCCUUACAUACACAGAAACACACCUUGCAUCCCUUACGCAUGCAAACACAGAUUCACACAAUGCAUCCCUUACACACAACCAGAAACACACAAUACAUCCCUUACACACAAACACACACUGCUUU